rnacentral:lncRNA from 1 species
CUCUGCAGUGUGGAUUGAACAGAAAAUUGGAAAUCAUAGUCAAAGGGCUUCCCUUGGUUCGCCACUCAUUUAUUUGUAACUUGACUUCUUUUUUUUUCUGCUUAAAAAUUUCAAUUCUCGUGGUAAUACCAGAGUAGAAGGAGAGGGUGACUUUACCGAACUGACAGCCAUUGGGGAGGCAGAUGCGGGUGUGGAGGUGUGGGCUGAAGGUAGUGACUGUUUGAUUUUAAAAAGUGUGACUGUCAGUUGUAUCUGUUGCUUUUCUCAAUGAUUCAGGGAUACAAGUGGGCUUCUCUCAUUUAUUAAAAGAAAACGCGACAUCUUUCUAAGAUUCUCUGUGGGAAAAUGACUGUC